GGCCACUUGACUUCGGACUUUUCAUCCUCCAGAAAUGUAAGAAAUAAAUUAUUUUUCUUUAUCAACUACCCAGAAUACUACCCAGUGGUAGUCUGUUAUAGCAACACAAAACAGACUGACACUCGCAGAAUUUCUACAAGAUCUUUUUAAUUUUGCUUCCAUUGCAAUUUCAUUUUGGCUUUUGACCCUUGCAUCUAGAAUAGGCUUGGCCUUGCUCCAGGGAACAUGCCAUCCUGGCCUGACAUACUUCACCUUCCCAACUUCUGUCUUCUUUGUCAACUACCCACUCCGAAGUAUCCCUGACUUGCCUCCCUUGUCUUUGUUUCUCCUAGUGUGUUUUGUUUUGCUUUUUGAUGCAUGGGCCAUGACAGAAAUCUACUGAGGUGAAGGGGAAUUGAGGAGAGACUCAUUGUUUUCAGCAAGAUGGGUAGUUAUUGAGGAGAAAUUAGAAAGCAUCAACUAACUGAAUGUGAUAGGAUCCACAUUCCCACCACACGAAAUGAGACAGAUUUUUAAAUAUGGCUAAGCAGUGUAAGUAUUCAGGCAAAGUCUGACAACUAAAUAUGUAGUGGGCUCUAAUUAGAUGCUUCUUCAUUUGUCUCUAGGAAAAGGACUGAAGAAAACAGACAGUGAGACUGAUCCAAAAACUCCCAUGUAUAUACAAACACAUGAAAAAUGUCACCAAAAUGUUAAUGGCAGUUACGUUACAGUUGCAUCAGGGAUGGGCUUUCAGUGCAUGACAUCUACAAGUGUACAAGAUGGUACUGGAUCCAGUGAGGAAGACAAAAAGUCUGGCAGGAAUGUGAGAGAGACUGGGAAGAAUUGGCUCAAUAUGAUGAUGGAGUUCAGAGAGCUAAAUGAAGUGCUGAGAAGUCACUGUUUUAAAUGGCUUAGCCGUGUGGAGAAGUCAAUCAUGAUCUGA
ensembl:lncRNA